ACAAUCUUUAUUUUUAACUAAACACAAAAGUCAUAGACUAUGGUUCCUCAUAACACCCCUUUUGGACAGAAACUUUACUUAGUUAUUCAGUCUAACAGCUUAAUUGCUUCUGAAGAUGUUUACAUGGUCUCCGGAAAAGUCUCGAGUAUGCCCUAGGGCAGAUGGGCCCAAACCAAUUUGGCUUUUAUGACUGGCUUCAAGGGCCAAGAAAGAAAACAUGAAGUCAAUCCAAAAGUUGCUUCAUAUGUUAGUAAAUUAACUUCACCAGUCAAAUGGGUUAAAACCAUCAAACCAGUUCAGGUUUGUGGACAAUCUUCAUUUAAAUCCAAGUAGCCCAACAUUCUCAUCCCUUCAAACCACAACAGAGCUCAGCUCAGGCUGGAGCAGACCUCCGAGACUGAACAGCUUGCCUAACCCAGAAGCCCGUUCACUAGCAGAAACAGCACAGGGAAGCCAGGGCCCCAGGCACCAUCAGGACUGGGACUCCAAGGGGCACCUUUUGAUUUGCAGGAGUGAGUUGCUAGGGGAGGUGAGACGCUCUGAAUCUUAACAUCUCUACUCAGUGGAUAUUUUCCAAACAAAUGCUCUUUUCUCUUGCACAGUAAUAAUUCCACAUCUGUUCUAUAUAUUCUUGAACAAUCACACCUGUUAACACUUUGCCAUCACAAGAAAAGCCCUGAAAAGGUGAGGGGAGAACCUAUUGAAUUUAUUUGUGCUUUUAGUGAUUUCUGAGAGAAAGGUGGUAUUGCAGCCAUCCAUUAGAGCCAUGUACUGUAGUAAAGCUAAAAGUCUGUCACACAAAAGAACCACCUGUAGCCACUCUUUCGAAAGGAAAGUCCUUGGCAAACAAUGGCCCGAGUGAACCAGUUUAAUCAGGCAGGAGUCAAGAUCACUGAGACAUAAAUUAAGCAUUCAUCCUUGAGUAGCAGCCAAGCAGCCAAAGCCCCCAUAAUCCCAAUUAAUCCCAUUUUGUGUGGUUGCCCUUGGGCCAAGGGCAGAGGGGAAGGGAAUCUGCGCAUGCUGGUUCCGCCUCAGCUCUUCACCUGCACAGGGGUGGGUCGUAAUAAAGGAGGGCUCCUGUCCUGGCGCUGCUGCACUCAGAGCACCCCCCCUCCUUCAGCAUCUGCGAACUGUCAGCAGAACUUUCCUCAAGGACACCCUGCACUUUCAGAGAGUCAGAUGCUCGGGCUCCUCCGAAGACAGACAUGACUCUGUCUCAUUCUCCUUUGUCUGUUCAAUGGCACUGACUUCCUAUCCCUACUCCUGCGGUCAGAUGGAGUGAACGAACGUCUCACAAGCCCCCUGGAACUCAUUUCUGCCGAUUGAUACUCUGUUUUGGAGGAGAAGUUGACCAGUUUCCCAGGAACAGGAAAUUUCCCUCCAGAGAGCAGCUGUUGUGUCCACAGACAGAAUCAGCUCAUGAGGCUGCUGCUUACCUCUCUUGCUCCUGGUGGGAAGGAAACUCAGUAUCUCUGCAAACAAGUCCUCACCUUUGUUGCAGUCACUGUGCUCAGGCCCCCAAGUCCCUUCCCAUUUUACCAGAAGCUGCUCCAGACACCAGCGAAGUAGAAAUGGCUCUGUGGUAGCUGACCAGCCAAUAAAAGUCUUCCCUGCUUCUUUGGACAUCUAGCAGGCCCCAGGUCCCAGCUCUCCUUGUAGUCGUGGGGAGGAAGAUGACAUACAGCUGGGUUCUCUCCAGCAGAACAGAUGGAAAUGCACCGCCUUAACUCUCCUGUCCUGUAUUCUCCUGGAAGCCAAGUUUUAAAGAUGGCAAUGUCACCAGCAGCCCGAGUCCCAGAAUGGCAACAUGGCACAGAAUCACAUUUCCUUUGCUUUUUCCAGCAAUACUUUUCCAACUCUACUGUACUGUUAGGAGCAAAAAAUAAACUUCCAUUGUGUUGAGCAA